AAAAUUAAAAUUAUAGUGCCGUCAACUCGGUUUCAUUAGUUUUUUGUCAGACACCGAACGAAAGUUGUUUCUACACUAUACAGUGCAUUCUAUAUUAUAUAGCGAUAAAAACAAAUUUUUUUUUUUUUCCGGAAUUACUGCACGUAUUGAUCCACUUGAGCCGUCAAAGUGCCGAUCGAAAUUAUUGCGCAGGGCGUUGUAAACGAAUUUCGAUCAUAAUGUCCGUAUACUUGAACGUCGUGUAUACACGCGAAAUAUUAGUGUGAUCGAUGUCUAACAUUAUGCGAAUAUAAUAUUAUUUAAGUACAAUAAUGAUUAUUGUUGCACCUACGAUAACCGUGUCGAUAGAGCUGUUGUAGACCACUUGAAUGGUUUCUUGUUAAAAUAAUAUAAUCUCUAUGUAGCUUAUCGAAUUUUUUUCAUAUCGAAACAAUAUUAUGGACGGCGGAUUUUGUAAUGUUGUAAUAACACGAAAAACCAGACCUCGGAAUGAACGAGUUCACAGCAUGAACCCGCUCGUCCGUUCAAAGUUCAAAAUGUGUGAACGAAACAUGAAUUAAGUUUGUGUUUUCAAUGGACUUGAACUUUAACUGGGUCGUUUGUUACGAUUGCAAUUCCGUUUGUUGCAUUGCGAAUUUAGGGAAAUAAUUUAAACAAUUUUAUUUGUUACAUCAACCUAACCACUUAAAUUUAAAUAACUCUAAGUAAGUAACAACGCAAUUUUACAAUAUUGCUCGUUAUACUGGAAUGACGAAUUUUAUUGUGA